CCGCCCCCGGGGCCCCCCCAACCGGGCAGGGCCCGGGCCGCCGAGACGGGAGGACAAAAGAGGCGCCGCCCCAGGGCCGGCCUUCCCGCACUACCUCCGUCUCCCUCGGCAGGUGCAGGGCGGGACGCACUGGGUCCCCAUCUUGCGACCCCCUCCUUGGCCACCCCUUGCCUGUAGAUCUCCGAGGACCGGCAGAUUUGUAGCGGGAGUGAGGGAGGAUACACAGGGACCCCCGGGCUCUGACCUGGUAACUGCCCUUCUGGGGACCCGUGCGAUCGAGGUGUGGGGGCGUGGCUGCCUGACCCAGGUUCGCCUCUGGGGCGUUAUACCCAGGAGGGGGCUUCCCCAGACCCAGCUCUGGUCGACCGAAGGCUUUCGGAGCUGGGAAGACUGGAGGCCAGGAACGGGACGGAGGGGCAGAGGUUCGUUUGGCUAACGGCCCUCUGGGCGCAUCUGGGAUCUCUCGCCCACCGCCCGGAGCAGAUCGCUGUGGAGUCCUCCCACACCUUUGGUCCAGAUCCCUUUCUAUCCUGCAGGCUCCUUUUCCAGGCCUAAGAUGCCCCUGACUCCAGGAGGGCUUCAGGAUUUGCUGUCAACUGAGCCACCGGGAGGGAUCUCUGACCUCCUGAGUCCUUUACACUGGGCACCACAAUCCUCCCUAAACAUCAUCUCUAUUUUAGGCCCAGGAGAGGUGAGAAGGCGAUUUCCUGGGAGGCGCUGACAUCAAUGCUGAAAACAGGUGAAGAUUAGAAUUCGGAAGAGAGUCAGAAGUGGAGCUACCAAUUCAGAUCACAACUGCAAAGAAGUGAAAGAACCUGUGCGCACGCAGGGCUGUACUGCGGUGCUCACCUGGGGAGGCUGCCCUGGAAGGGGAUGUCCGCAAAGCUGUGGCUGAGCUGGGCGAUGAUCCGAUCGACUUCUGCAUACGGGUCUGUUUCAGAAACCAGCCUAUUGUCCUCUGGACACAAGUCAAAUUUUUCAGUAGGAACGGAGAACGCUGAAUAAAACGGAUGAACACUCCUCAUGUCUCUCUACUCUGGGCGAAGUUCCCAGAAUAGACUUCGCCUAAGGAGCUAACACAUGGCCAUUCCCAAAUCCGACCAGCAGGCCCCCGAAUGGAAGGACUUUGGCCUGUAACCAGCCCUUGUU